rnacentral:rRNA from 1 species
UACGGAGGGGGCUAGCGUUGUUCGGAAUUACUGGGCGUAAAGCGCACGUAGGCGGCUUUGUAAGUUAGAGGUGAAAGCCCGGGGCUCAACUCCGGAAUUGCCUUUAAGACUGCAUCGCUAGAAUUGUGGAGAGGUAAGUGGAAUUCCGAGUGUAGAGGUGAAAUUCGUAGAUAUUCGGAAGAACACCAGUGGCGAAGGCGGCUCACUGGCCCGAUUCUGACGCUGAGGCGCGAAAGCGUGGGGAGCAAACAGG